rnacentral:rRNA from 1 species
GACGAACGCUGGCGGCGUGCCUAAUACAUGCAAGUCGUACGGACCUUUUAAAAGCUUGCUUUUAAAAGGUUAGCGGCGGACGGGUGAGUAACACGUGGGCAACCUCCCUGUAAGACUGGGAUAACGCCGGGAAACCGGGGCUAACACCGGAUCGUUUUUCCUCCGCAUGGAGGAGCAAGGAAAGUCGGCUUCGGCGGCCACUUACAGAUGGGCCCGCGGCGCAUUAGCUAGUUGGCGGGGUAACGGCCCACCAAGGCAACGAUGCGUAGCCGACCUGAGAGGGUGAUCGGCCACAAUGGGACUGAGACACGGCCCAAACUCCUACGGGGGGCAGCAGUAGGGAAUCUUCCGCAAUGGACGGAAGUCUGACGGAGCAACGCCGCGUGAGUGAAGAAGGCCUUCGGGUCGUAAAACUCUGUUGCCGGGGAAGAACAAGUGCCGUUCGAACAGGGCGGCGCCUUGACGGUACCCGGACAGAAAGCCACGGCUAACUACGUG